UGGAGCAUGGAGACCAGCUUGACAGAGUACUGUUAGACAGAAUACUGAACUCAGAAAUUUGGUGAGUGAGGGAAUUCAGUGCAAUGAGGGUAGAUGUGCUGCUCUGUCCAUUUGCAGAAUAAGGAGUGAUUCAAGAGAGGGAGCAAGACACAACGAGACUAGAGACCUGAAAUCCAGAGGCAUUAAUUUGGUAAGCAGGAGAAGACAUCCCAUAACAAUGCAGAGCAGCUGCGGACUGGCGGAGGGCAGCCCCGCCUUCUCAUCAUUACCAGCUACAAGCAGGGGGCACUGGAGCUGGAGAGGCACCAUGUGCCCAGGUCAAGCGACCGUGGUGAGGUUGGGGUGUCACUGGGAGCCUCACCGGAGCACGCUCGGACUCAGGAGACUGAGGGACCCCUGAGGGCACAGAAGACAUUAACGCACCAGCGUCACACUCCCUCAGCCAGGCAAGCACCAGCAUAGGUACCAACACCUCGAUGGGCAUUAGAUCGGCGGAUAGUAUCUCGGUGCACAGCGGUGAGGGCACUUCACACUCGCUUGAGGUGCUAGUGGAGUCAGAGAUGCCCAGGGCGUCGGCAGUCAGAGGACUGCUGGGGACUAGGAACAUGCUCAGUCGAUGGCUGAUGAUGUGCCUCUGGAGUUGUCCCUGAGGCAGCAGAUGUUGGAAGUCCAGCGGGGUGUGCGGGAAGAUCUGGCGGAGACACAUGAGGGAAUGCGUGCCAUGGUCUCCAUUGUGGAGGAGUCCUUGUGGAGAAUGAGCAUUGCAAUGACCCUCCUGGCCGAGCGCACUGCCUCCUGUAUGGAGAGAGUGGCGACUCUCAUGGAGAAGCUCCUCCAGGAGCUGAAUCAGGGGUUCCUGGGGAUGUGCUCGGACCUGCAAGCCCUCA